GGUCUCAGGUAGAUGUCGAAUCAAUCAGUUCAAGAGCUGUUUUCUCCAGAACAACAGCUUAGACGGCGUCUCAGGUAGAUGUCGAAUCAAUCAGUUCAAGAGCUGACAUUGUGGGUAUGCAACAAAUCACCCCGUCUCAGGUAGAUGUCGAAUCAAUCAGUUCAAGAGCGAAACUUGACAAAAACAAUCUUAUCUACUGGUCUCAGGUAGAUGUCGAAUCAAUCAGUUCAAGAGCGAAUAUCAUAAUGCGGACGACCCAUUACCAGUCUCAGGUAGAUGUCGAAUCAAUCAGUUCAAGAGCAAAAGCGUGCAAUAUGCACCGGCUCACUGUCUCAGGUAGAUGUCGAAUCGAAUCAGUUCAAGAGCGGAUACGUGAUGAACGCACUACAGUUGACCGGUCUCAGGUAGAUGUCGAAUCAAUCAGUUCAAGAGCGAUUCGCGGACACGAUUGUAAACGAAGAAACCGUCUCAGGUAGAUGUCGAAUCAAUCAGUUCAAGAGCCCAAAUUGGUUAGCACCGCUUAAAGACGAAGUCUCAGGUAGAUGUCGAAUCAAUCAGUUCAAGAGCUAUCAGAGGCUUAUCCAUUAAACAACUGGCGUCUCAGGUAGAUGUCGAAUCAAUCAGUUCAAGAGCAAACUGCCUUCCGUUGCGAUCAACUCGCGCGUCUCAGGUAGAUGUCGAAUCAAUCAGUUCAAGAGCAAGCGUUCGCUUGCGCUGGUGUUGGUCUCGGUCUCAGGUAGAUGUCGAAUCAAUCAGUUCAAGAGCUCGUAGCGGCUAACACGCUUAUGGCUGACAGUCUCAGGUAGAUGUCGAAUCAAUCAGUUCAAGAGCAAAAUAUUUCUAGAAUUAGCAACUUUAUGGGUCUCAGGUAGAUGUCGAAUCAAUCAGUUCAAGAGCGAUCGUUGAAGAAAGGCUGAUCAAUAUGUUGUCUCAGGUAGAUGUCGAAUCAAUCAGUUCAAGAGCCGCAAAAAAUGUUUUGACAAGAACACAUCGGUCUCAGGUAGAUGUCGAAUCAAUCAGUUCAAGAGCGGCCAAUAUCAUCAGUCGGGAGAUUGUCGCGUCUCAGGUAGAUGUCGAAUCAAUCAGUUCAAGAGCACUCGUCAAUAUCCUUCUGCAUGAUCAAGUGUCUCAGGUAGAUGUCGAAUCAAUCAGUUCAAGAGCGCAAUCGCGAUACUUUCACCGAUUGCAACAGUCUCAGGUAGAUGUCGAAUCAAUCAGUUCAAGAGCAACAAAAUAAUAGGAGGUUUUUACCAUGGAGUCUCAGGUAGAUGUCGAAUCAAUCAGUUCAAGAGCAUGACUUUAACAAUCAAAUCCCAAGUUGUUGUCUCAGGUAGAUGUCGAAUCAAUCAGUUCAAGAGCUAUUAUCCUAACACAUCCAUCGAGAAGUUAGUCUCAGGUAGAUGUCGAAUCAAUCAGUUCAAGAGC
rnacentral:sRNA from 1 species